GGAAUAUUGGACAAUGGGGGAAACCCUGAUCCAGCAAUGCCGCGUGUGUGAAGAAGGCCUGCGGGUUGUAAAGCACUUUUAUUAGGGAAGAAAAGCCAGGGGAUAAUCCCACCGGGUCUUGACGGUAACUGAAGAAUAAGCACCGGCUAACUCAGUGCCAGCAGCCGCGGUAAUACGGACGGUGCGAGCGUUAAUCGGAAUUACUGGGCGUAAAGCGCGCGUAGGCGGUUUGACAAGUCGGGUGUGAAAGCCCCGGGCUUAACCUGGGAAUUGCAUUCGAAACUGUCAGGCUAGAGUCUAGGAGAGGGAAGCGGAAUUCCGGGUGUAGCGGUGAAAUGCGUAGAUAUCCGGAGGAACAUCAGUGGCGAAGGCGGCUUCCUGGCCUAAGACUGACGCUGAGGUGCGAAAGCGUGGGGGGCAAAC
rnacentral:rRNA from 1 species